AGAUCGACAGGCUUUUGAAUCAUAACAACAACUUUAAUAUGAUCUUUCAGACCAGCUAUGAAUCUAUCUGUAACAAUCACUUGUGAGUGGUUUGGUGGUGGGGUCGUCCUCUUCACUUGAGGCAGGUGCAAGGUCGACCUUCAAGGUUGUGGUGGUGGAUGCGGUCGGCGAGGUGGCCGAUGCAGCUGCUGAUGCGUCCGGCGCCGCGGGCGAGGU
rnacentral:lncRNA from 1 species